AAUGAACGUUGGCGGCGUGGGUUAGGCAUGCAAGUCGCGCGAUAAGAUUCCUUCGGGGAUCCCAAAGCGGCGAAAGGGAGAGUAACGCGUAGUUAUCUGCCCUGAGGACUGGGAUAGCGGCGGGAAACUGCCGGUAAUACCAGAUGAUAUCUCCGGAUCAAAGGUGUGAUUCCGCCUCAGGAUGAGACUGCGUCCUAUUAGCUAGUUGGUGUGGUAACGGCUCACCAAGGCGAAGAUGGGUACCGGGUGUGAGAGCACGACCCGGCUCACUGGGACUGAGACACUGCCCAGACACCUACGGGUGGCUGCAGUCGAGAAUCUUCGGCAAUGGGCGAAAGCCUGACCGAGCGACGCCGCGUGCGGGAUGAAGGCCUCGGGUUGUAAACCGACUGCAGUGGGA
rnacentral:rRNA from 1 species